AGCUAGUGUAGUGCAGUGGUCUGCAUGUUGAACUAUGACUCUGAAGAAGAGGGUUUGAAUCCCCACUUGGCUA